AGAUGGCGGGGAAAGUCGAAAGACGCUGAAAGAGGAGCCCGCGGCCGAUUAGCUAGUUGGUGAGGUAAAAGCUCACCAAGGCAGAGAUCGGUAGCCGGCCUGAGAGGGCACACGGCCACACUGGCACUGAAACACGGGCCAGACUCCUACGGGAGGCAGCAGUGGGGAAUCUUGCACAAUGGGGGAAACCCUGAUGCAGCGACGCCGCGUGAGCGAUGAAGCCCUUCGGGGUGUAAAGCUCUUUCGGCAGGGAAGAUAGUGACGGUACCUGCAGAAGCAGCUGCGGCUAACUACGUGCCAGCAGCCGCGGUAAUACGUAGGCAGCAAGCGUUGUUCGGAGUUACUGGGCGUAAAGGGUGUGUAGGCGGUUCUUUAAGUUUGGUGUGAAAUCUCCCGGCUUAACCGGGAGGGUGCGCCGAAUACUGAGGGACUAGAGUACGGGAGAGGAAAGUGGAAUUCCUGGUGUAGCGGUGAAAUGCGUAGAUAUCAGGAGGAACACCGGUGGUGUAGACGGCUUUCUGGACCGUAACUGACGCUGAGACACGAAAGCGUGGGUAGCAAACAGGAUUAGAUACCCUGGUAGUCCACGCCCUAAACGAUGCAUAUUUGGUGUGGGCAGUUCAUUCUGUCCGUGCCGGAGCUAACGCGUUAAAUAUGCCGCCUGGGGAGUACAGUCGCAAGGCUGAAACUCAAAGGAAUUGACGGGGCCCGCACAAGCGGUGGAGCAUGUGGUUCAAUUCGACGCAACGCGAAGAACCUUACCUGGGCUCGAACGGCUUCUCAACGCCGGUGGAAACACUGGUACCCCGCAAGGGGGUGGAGUCGAGGUGCUGCAUAGCUGUCGUCAGCUCGUGUCGUGAGAUGUUGGGUUAAGUCCCGCAACGAGCGCAACCCCUGUCCUGUGUUGCCAUCAUUCAGUUGGGAACUCGCAGGAGACCGCCAGCGAUAAGCUGGAGGAAGGUGGGGAUGACGUCAAGUCCUCAUGGCCUUUAUGUCCAGGGCUACACACGUGCUACAAUGGACGGUACAAAGCGCAGCAAACCCGCGAGGGGGAGCCAAUCGCAAAAAACCGCUCUCAGUUCGGAUUGCAGGCUGCAACUCGCCUGCAUGAAGCUGGAAUCGCUAGUAAUGGCAGAUCAGCACGCUGCCGUGAAUACGUUCCCGGGCCUUGUACACACCGCCCGUCACAUCACGAAAGUGGAUUGUACUAGAAGUCUGCAGGCUGACCCG
rnacentral:rRNA from 1 species